CACUGGGACUGAGAUACGGCCCAGACUCCUACGGGAGGCAGCAGUGGGGAUUUUGCACAAUGGGCGCAAGCCUGAUGCAGCGACGCCGCGUGAGGGAUGACGGCCUUCGGGUUGUAAACCUCUUUCGCUAGGUUGGAAGACGCUUUUUGGAGUUGUUGACUUUAACUGGUAAAGAAGUACCGGCUAACUACGUGCCAGCAGCCGCGGUAAUACGUAGGGUACUAGCGUUGUCCGGAAUUAUUGGGCGUAAAGGGCUUGUAGGUGGUUUGUCGCGUCUGUCGUGAAAACCCGGGGCUUAACUCCGGGCUUGCGGUGGGUACGGGCAGGCUUGAGUGCGGUAGGGGAGACUGGAAUUCCUGGUGUAGCGGUGGAAUGCGCAGAUAUCAGGAGGAAUACCGGUGGCGAAGGCGGGUCUCUGGGCCGUUACUGACACUGAGGAGCGAAAGCGUGGGGAGCGAACAGGAUUAGAUACCCUGGUAGUCCACGCUGUAAACGUUGGGCACUAGUUGUGGGGGCUUUUGUUGGUUUCCGCGACGUAGCUAACGCAUUAAGUGCCCCGCCUGGGGAGUACGGCCGCAAGGCUAAAACUCAAAGGAAUUGACGGGGACCCGCACAAGCGGCGGAGCAUGCGGAUUAAUUCGAUGCAACGCGAAGAACCUUACCAAGGCUUGACAUGCACCGGACGGCUCUAGAGAUAGGGUUUCCCUUUGUGGCUGGUGUGCAGGUGGUGCAUGGUUGUCGUCAGCUCGUGUCGUGAGAUGUUGGGUUAAGUCCCGCAACGAGCGCAACCCUUGUCUAGUGUUGCCAGCAAGUAGUGUUGGGGACUCUCUAGAGACUGCCGGGGUUAACUCGGAGGAAGGUGGGGAUGACGUCAAAUCAUCAUGCCCCUUAUGUCUUGGGCUUCACGCAUGCUACAAUGGGCGGUACAGUGGGUUGCAAUACCGUGAGGUGGAGCUAAUCCCCAAAGCCGUUCUCAGUUCGGAUCGUAGUCUGCAACUCGACUACGUGAAGGUGGAGUCGCUAGUAAUCGCAGAUCAGCAUUGCUGCGGUGAAUACGUUCUCGGGUCUUGUACACACCGCCCGUCACGUCACGAAAGUUGGUAACACCCGAAGCUCAUGGCCUAACCGCGUUU
rnacentral:rRNA from 1 species